rnacentral:rRNA from 1 species
UCCGGUGACUAUAGCGGCGGGGAAACGCCCGUUCCCAUCCCGAACACGGAAGCUAAGCCCGCCAGCGCCGAUGAUACUGCGGGGGAGACCCCGUGGGAAAGUAGGUCGUCGCCGGGG